GAUGAACGCUGGCGGCGUGCCUAAUACAUGCAAGUCGAGCGAACGGACGAGGAGCUUGCUUCUCUGACGUUAGCGGCGGACGGGUGAGUAACACGUGGAUAACCUACCUAUAAGACUGGGAUAACUUCGGGAAACCGGAGCUAAUACCGGAUAAUAUAUUGAACCGCAUGGUUCAAUAGUGAAAGACGGUUUUGCUGUCACUUAUAGAUGGAUCCGCGCCGCAUUAGCUAGUUGGUAAGGUAACGGCUUACCAAGGCAACGAUGCGUAGCCGACCUGAGAGGGUGAUCGGCCACACUGGAACUGAGACACGGUCCAGACUCCUACGGGAGGCAGCAGUAGGGAAUCUUCCGCAAUGGGCGAAAGCCUGACGGAGCAACGCCGCGUGAGUGAUGAAGGUCUUCGGAUCGUAAAACUCUGUUAUUAGGGAAGAACAAAUGUGUAAGUAACUAUGCACGUCUUGACGGUACCUAAUCAGAAAGCCACGGCUAACUACGUG
rnacentral:rRNA from 1 species